GGCGGGGGAGGGCGGAGGGACCGCGAGACCGGCGCCCGCGGGAAGCGGGGAGCGGGGCGGCCUGCGGCCGGGCUCCGGGAGGCCGAGGGCAUCAGCGGGCCGGAGCGAACCCCCCGAGACACGGCAUAGGAGCCCGAGGCGCUCAGAAGGCGGGCUGCAGACUUCUGUCGGGGUCUUUGGUUUGAGCCCUGACUUCGGCCGUACACGUAUUUCCCCGCAAGGACGGCGCCUCUCAGCCUUUGCUGAAGUUGGGGGUUGGACUUCAUUAUCAUUAUCCUGUUGAGGGGCCACUGUACAGAAGUACUGGUUGACCUGCGCCGGGCGCCGUGGAGACUGCCGUGACGUGGAACCUGGGGGAGGGGAGGGAGGGCUUAGAGACGCCAGGGGUCUGUCCCGUACCCACCUGCAGUGUUGAAGGUGGAGGUGAAAAAUCUGGCUUUGAUAUCUUCAUGGAGGACUACAUUAUUUCAAUCCUGAAUCUGGUUUAGUUUUCUUACUGAUUUAUUACUAUAUUAAAAAUGUUUAAUUAA